AUUGAACGCUGGCGGCAGGCCUAACACAUGCAAGUCGAACGAGUGGCGGACGGGUGAGUAAUGUCUGUGAAACUGCCUGAUGGAGGGGGAUAACUACUGGAAACGGUAGCUAAUACCGCAUACCAUCGGAUGUGCCCAGAUGGGAUUAGCUAGUAGGUGGGGUAACGGCUCACCAAGGCGACUAUCCCUAGCUGGUCUGAGAGGCGGACCAGCCACACUGGAACUGAGACACGGUCCAGACUCCUACGGGAGGCAGCAGUGGGGAAUAUUGCACAAGGGGCGCAAGCCUGAUGCAGCCAUGCCGCGUGUAUGAAGAAGGCCUGCGGGUUGUAAAGUACUUUCAGCGGGGAGGCGUUACCCGCAGAAGAAGCACCGGCUAACUCCGUGCCAGCAGCCGCGGUAAUAC
rnacentral:rRNA from 1 species